UACGUAGGGUGCAAGCGUUAAUCGGAAUUACUGGGCGUAAAGCGUGCGCAGGCGGUUGUGCAAGACCGAUGCGAAAAUCCCCGGGCUCAACCUGGGAAUGGCAUUGGUGACUGCACGGCUAGAGUGUGUCAGAGGGGGGUAGAAUUCCACGUGUAGCAGUGAAAUGCGUAGAGAUGUGGAGGAACACCGAUGGCGAAGGCAGCCCCCUGGGUCAAGAUUGACGCUCAUGCACGAAAGCGUGGGGAGCAAACAGG
rnacentral:rRNA from 1 species